rnacentral:rRNA from 1 species
AGGACGAACGCUGGCGGCGUGCUUAACACAUGCAAGUCGAGCGGUAAGGCCUUUCGGGGUACACGAGCGGCGAACGGGUGAGUAACACGUGGGUGAUCUGCCCUGCACUUCGGGAUAAGCCUGGGAAACUGGGUCUAAUACCGGAUAUGACUUCAGGUUGCAUGACUUGGGGUGGAAAGAUUUAUCGGUGCAGGAUGGGCCCGCGGCCUAUCAGCUUGUUGGUGGGUAAUGGCCUACCGAAGGCGACGACGGGUAGCCGACGUGAGAGGGUGGACCGGCCGACACGUGGGACUGAGACACCGGCCCAGACUCCG